GUGUUUCAUGUUCCAGGAAACGAUAUCAUGAUAUGAUUAAUUAGUUGUUAACUAAUAACGUUGUUAUGUCAUCGCUCUGCUUGGCUCAAUUUCAGACCAAACAUGUCCGCAGAUCUGCGUAUCAUGAUCAUCUUCUGCGCUUGCCGUAGCCGACGAUGCUCUACGAUGUAGACUUUUUACGAAAAAGUCGAGAGCACUUUUCAGUGAUUUAUCCAUAAACUAAAUGAGCCUAAAGGAAAGACCACGUAUACUGCUUCGGAAAAAGUUGAACGCUAUUCUCAUAUCCUCACUAUUGUUACGUUUAGAUACAAGUACAUCUGUGUGUUUCUGCUGCGAACACAUGCAAUUUUACAUUUAUCUAUUUUUUUUAAUUUUUUUUU
rnacentral:lncRNA from 1 species